rnacentral:rRNA from 1 species
UAGGGAAUAUUGGACAAUGGGGGGAACCCUGAUCCAGCCAUGCCGCGUGGAGGAAGACUGCCCUCUGGGUUGUAAACUCCUUUUAUAUGGGAAGAACCGUCCUCAUUGAUGAGUGACCUGACGGUACCAUAGGAAUAAGCACCGGCUAACUCCGUGCCAGCAGCCGCGGUAAUACGGAGGGUGCAAGCGUUAUCCGGAUUCACUGGGUUUAAAGGGUGCGUAGGCGGAUAUGUAAGUCAGUGGUGAAAUCAACGGGCUCAACCUGUUAACUGCCAUUGAUACUGUGUAUCUUGAAUAUGAGAGAGGUAGGCUGAAUGUUGCAUGUAGCGGUGAAAUGCUUAGAUAUGCUACGGAACACCGAUUGCGAAGGCAGCUUACUAUUUCGUAAUUGACGCUGAGGCACGAAAGCGUGGGUAGCGAACA